UACGUAGGGUGCAAGCGUUGUCCGGAAUUAUUGGGCGUAAAGAGCUCGUAGGCGGUUCGGUAAGUCGGGUGUGAAACCUCCAGGCUCAACCUGGAGACGCCACCCGAUACUGCUGUGACUAGAGUCCAGUAGGGGAGCGUGGAAUUCCUGGUGUAGCGGUGGAAUGCGCAGAUAUCAGGAGGAACACCGAUGGCGAAGGCAGAUCUCUGGGCCGUAACUGACGCUGAGGAGCGAAAGCGUGGGGAGCGAACAGG
rnacentral:rRNA from 1 species